UUGGCCACCCAUACUACCCUGAACACGCCCGAUCUCGUCUGAUCUCGGAAGCUAAGCAGGGUCAGGCCUGGUUAGUACUUGGAUGGGAGACCGCCUGGGAAUACCAGGUGUUGUAGGAA
rnacentral:rRNA from 1 species